UACGUAGGGUGCGAGCGUUAAUCGGAAUUACUGGGCGUAAAGCGUGCGCAGGCGGCGCCGCAAGUCGAGUGUGAAAUCCCCGAGCUUAACUUGGGAAUUGCGCUCGAAACUACGGUGCUGGAGUGUGGCAGAGGGAGGUGGAAUUCCACGUGUAGCGGUGAAAUGCGUAGAUAUCGGGAGGAACACCUGUGGCGAAAGCGGCGCACUGGACCACAACUGACGCUGAGGCGCGAAAGCUAGGGGAGCAAACAGG
rnacentral:rRNA from 1 species